UUUUGGGGUGAUUUUGGGCACUUUGGGACCCCCGCAGCACGUCCGGAACAGCCGCGGCUCCAACAAGUACGAGGGGUGGCCGCAGGCGCUGGAGCUCGGCGGCUGCGUCCCCCAGCGGCCCCCGGGGUGACCCCAAAAACCGGGGGGACCCCAAAACAUCCCGGGGGGACCCCAAAACAUCCCGGGGGGACCCCAAAACCCGGGGGGACCCCAAAACAUCCCGGGGGGACCCCAAAACCCGGGGGGACCCCAAAAACAUCCCGGGGGACCCUAAAAACAUCCCGGGAACCCCAAAAACGUGCCAGGGGGACCCAAAAACCCGGGGGGGACCCCAAAACAUCCCGGGGGGACCUCAAAACUCACAGAGAUCCCAAAAAACCCACAGAGACCCCUCAGGGACCCCGAAAACCCCACAGAGACCCCAAAGCACAAAGUGGGGGACCCCAAAAUACACAGGGACCCCAAAAACCCCACACAGCGACCCCAAAACUCACAGAGACCCCAAAACCUCCCGGGGGCACCCCAAAAUUCACAGAGACCCCAAAAACCCCACAGGGACCCCAAAACAUCCCAGUGGGACCCCAAAAACCCCACAGAGACCCCAAAAAACCCGCAGAGACCCCCUCAAGGACCCCAAAAUCCACAGGGGGCACCCCAAAACUCACAGAGACCCCAAAACAUCCCGGAGGUACCCCAAAACUCACAGAGACCCCAAGGGACCCCAAAACCCCCACAGAGACCCCCUCAAGGACCCCAAAAUCCACAGGGGGCACCCCAAAACUCACGGGGACGCCAAAAACCCCUCAUGGACCCCAAAAUGUCCCAGAACCCCCCAAAGCCGAGGAUUUGGGGUCCCCCCGGUCAGAUUUGGGGUUCCCUGGUCAGAUUUGGGGUCCCCCGGUCAGAUUUG
rnacentral:lncRNA from 1 species